GUGGGGAAUAUUGCGCAAUGGGGGAAACCCUGACGCAGCAACGCCGCGUGAAGGAUGAAGGCUUUCGGGUUGUAAACUUCUUUGAUCAGGGACGAAAAAAAUGACGGUACCUGAAGAACAAGCCACGGCUAACUACGUGCCAGCAGCCGCGGUAAUACGUAGGUGGCAAGCGUUGUCCGGAUUUACUGGGUGUAAAGGGCGUGUAGGCGGGAAGGUAAGUCAGAUGUGAAAUUCCGGGGCUCAACUCCGGCGCUGCAUCUGAAACUAUCUUUCUUGAGUGAUGGAGAGGAAAGCGGAAUUCCUAGUGUAGCGGUGAAAUGCGUAGAUAUUAGGAGGAACACCAGUGGCGAAGGCGGCUUUCUGGACAUUAACUGACGCUGAGGCGCGAAAGCGUGGGGAGCAAACAGGAUUAGAAACCCGAGUAGUCC
rnacentral:rRNA from 1 species